AACGAACGCUGGCGGCAUGCCUAACACAUGCAAGUCGAACGAGACCUUCGGGUCUAGUGGCGCACGGGUGCGUAACGCGUGGGGAUCUGCCCUUUGCUUCGGAAUAACAGUUAGAAAUGACUGCUAAUACCGGAUGAUGACUUCGGUCCAAAGAUUUAUCGGCAAAGGAUGAACCCGCGUAGGAUUAGCUAGUUGGUGGGGUAAAGGCCUACCAAGGCGACGAUCCUUAGCUGGUCUGAGAGGAUGAUCAGCCACACUGGGACUGAGACACGGCCCAGACUCCUACGGGAGGCAGCAGUGGGGAAUAUUGGACAAUGGGCGAAAGCCUGAUCCAGCAAUGCCGCGUGAGUGAUGAAGGCCUUAGGGUUGUAAGCUCUUUACCCGGGAUGAUAAUGACAGUACCGGGAGAAUAAGCUCCGGCUAACUCCGUGCCAGCAGCCGCGGUAAU
rnacentral:rRNA from 1 species